GAUGAACGCUGGCGGCGUGCCUAAUACAUGCAAGUCGAGCGAACGGACGAGAAGCUUGCUUCUCUGAUGUUAGCGGCGGACGGGUGAGUAACACGUGGAUAACCUACCUAUAAGACUGGGAUAACUUCGGGAAACCGGAGCUAAUACCGGAUAAUAUUUUGAACCGCAAGGUUCAAAAGUGAAAGACGGUCUUGCUGUCACUUAUAGAUGGAUCCGCGCUGCAUUAGCUAGUUGGUAAGGUAACGGCUUACCAAGGCAACGAUGCAUAGCCGACCUGAGAAGGUGAUCGGCCACACUGGAACUGAGACACGGUCCAGACUCCUACGGGAGGCAGCAGUAGGGAAUCUUCCGCAAUGGGCGAAAGCCUGACGGAGCAACGCCGCGUGAGUGAUGAAGGUCUUCGGAUCGUAAAACUCUGUUAUUAGGGAAGAACAUAUGUGUAAGUAACUGUGCACAUCUUGACGGUACCUAAUCAGAAAGCCACGGCUAACUACGUG
rnacentral:rRNA from 1 species